rnacentral:lncRNA from 1 species
GACGAACUCGGCCACCCUGAAGCCACGGGGUUGGACUGAGCAUGGCGCUGAAGUUGAGUAGAACAUUUAGGAAUUAGCAUAAAUAGGAAACAACAAACAGGUGAAGAAACCGUGAAGUGAAAUGAGUUAUAGAAGACAGUAUGCAUUUUUCUCACUAAAACAAACUUUUGUUUGUGUGCAACUUCUGUACUUGCAUACAUUUGGAGGGAGAAACACAGAAAAUACAACCACAUGGACCAACACAUUUGGAGGGAGAAACUAUAGACGUACAUCACGGGGUAGCAAAUAAAAUGAACUCCAGGCACAACAUUUUUUUAACUUCUUUUUGUAUCUCGCAAACUGAAAAUAAGAAGAAAGCAAAUUAGAACACAAAGUAAGAAGAAAGCAGAGCACCAGUGCUUGUGCGGCAUGGAUCCGUCAACCCUUUUGCAUCCUAGUUCCAGCCAGCAUGAGCUAGCACCUCCUGGAUCGAGCUGCAGUAGUGCAACACAACGCAUCAGAGAGAUAAAAAGGUGAGUAGCAGCAUGUACAGGAAGGGGAGAAAGCAACUAUAGCACACGAGCAUCCACGGGCAGAGAGAGAUGCAGCAACGGCUGGACAUGCGCAUUGUCAAUGGAGGGAUGGUAGCCUGCUUUGUCGGGCAAAGACGCUGGACCUCACCGUCAGGCACCGGCGAUGGGCGCGCGGCAGUGCUCGGGGGUCCCGGGGCAACGCGACGCGGGUUGGCGGGCUUUCACUUUUUUCCUUGUUGUGUGUGCUCAACUUGGCCGGUUGCACAGUGCUAGUGAAGAUGGUGGGUGUGAUUCUACUUGGACUGGCGUCAACCCUCGGCUUGGACGGCUGCAAGCACCCGUGGUGGACGAGCUAUUGCUCGAGGGCUGAAACUUUGUCUAAAAUCACAAAACUGACGAGAGGAUAAUGUACGCAAACAGAAUAGUAAGUUCAGAAAAAAGGUUCAGAACAAAAGAUCAAAAAAGGCAAAUUUUUGUCCAGCGUACAACUUUGCAUAAUGACAACGAAAAUUUCAAAAUAGUAAGUUUAAAAUUUCUGUUGUCUAUAAAAUAUAGUAAACCAAAAGUUUUCUAACGAGUGCACUUGCGUGGAGUUCCCUGGUGAACUUCUAGGCUGACAUUGAUUCUCCGGUUUUCUUUACACAACCAACUUUCUGUUUUUUUAUAAGCGAACUGAUGGAAAAUUUGAUGGUGCACUUCUGUAUUUUAUUCAAGGUGAACUGAUGCACUUGCAAAGUUGACUUAUUAUGUUCCUUUUUCCUACUGAAUUGAUGUUUGUUCACAAAAUUAAAAGAUUAAAGGUGUGAACAUUCAGUACAUUUGUACCUUCGCUAGUGCCGCACUAGAACUGACAUGAUAAGUUAAGUUAUAGUGAUCCAUCAAUAAUAGGUCAAACCCUCCUUUAUGCUUUCAGUGCACUAGAACAGAGAACAAACCGAUGCUCUAUCAAAAGUUCAACCAGGCCAAAAUUUGAAACUGGCCAAACCAGUAGUUGACAGGCAACACUCAUUGUUCUCUAACACUCACAGAAUACACAUAGAACACACACACUUAAGUUAAGAGAACCAUCCCAUUUAUGUUCAGAGAAUAAAUGCAUUUAAGCUCAAAGAAAAAAUGUGUUUAGGUUCAGAGAACAAAACAAUCUUUAGUGUGAUUUUCUACGUAUGGAUAAUCGCAGAAGCAACAUAGUUGGACUGAAGCUCUAAAUUUUGUAGAACUUACAAAAAAAUGUGCAGGUGGGGUUAUGCUGCUGCUAGUUACUAAAACAAAUGGCAGAGGAUGAACAAGGGACUCACACCAUACCGCGAUGGCACGAGGAAGCUGCUGACCGUAGCAUCUCCUUUCCUUCUCAGUAUAAUGUCUUUGAACCUUGUACAAGGGCGGC